GACGAACGCUGGCGGCGUGCCUAAUACAUGCAAGUCGAACGCAGUGGGGACGGGUGAGUAACACGUGGGUAACCUCCCAUAUGAGGGGAUAACACUUGGAAAAAGGUGCUAAACCGCUACUGAUGGAUGGACCCGCGGUGAAUUAGCUAGUGGGGGAGGUAACGGCCCCACAAGGCCACGAUGCAUAGCCGACCGGAGAGGGUGACCGGCAACACUGGAACUGAGACACGGCCCAGACUCCUACGGGAGGCAGCAGUGGGGAAUCUUCGGCAAUGGACGAAAGUCUGACCGAGCCACGCCGCGUGAGUUAAGAAGGUUUUCGGAUCGUAAAACUCUGUUGUUAGAGAAGCGGUAUCUAACCAGAAAGCCACGGCUAACUACGUGCCAGCAGCCGCGGUAAUAC
rnacentral:rRNA from 1 species